rnacentral:rRNA from 1 species
UACGGGGGAUGCAAGCGUUAUCCGGAAUCAUUGGGCGUAAAGCGCCUGUAGGUUGUUUAUUAAGUCUGUUGUUAAAGACUAGGGCUUAACCCUAGAGAAGCAAUGGAAACUAAUAGACUUGAGUAUGGUAGGGGUAGAGGGAAUUUCUAGUGUAGCGGUGAAAUGCGUAGAUAUUAGAAAGAACACCGGUGGCGAAAGCGCUCUACUGGACCAUUACUGACACUCAGAGGCGAAAGCUAGGGUAGCAAAAGGGAUUAGAUACCCCUGUAGUCCUAGCCGUAAACGAUGGAUACUAGAUGUUGCGCAUUAAGUGCAGUAUCGUAGCUAACGCGUUAAGUAUCCCGCCUGGGGAGUACGCUCGCAAGGGUG